AUACUUACAUGGUAGGGGAGAUACCAUAAUCAGGAAGAUGGUUUUCCCAGGGCCGGGCUUAUCCGUUGCAUCCUGAUGUGCUGACCCCUGUAAUUUCCCUAAAUGUGGGAAACUCGACUGCAUAAUUUGUGAUAGCAUAGGACUGUGUCUGUGCUCUCCCCUGAC
ensembl:snRNA U1 U1 spliceosomal RNA